rnacentral:piRNA from 1 species
CCAGAACACGUCUGCCAGAGGUUGAGC